rnacentral:lncRNA from 1 species
CCCAGCUUACUCCAACGGACAGAGAAACCAGAGUCCUGAGGUAUAGAGAAAAGAAGAAGAAUCGCAAAUUUGAGAAAACCAUAAGGUAUGCUUCAAGAAAAGCCUAUGCAGAAACAAGGCCAAGAAUCAAAGGUCGAUUCGCAAAGAGAACAGACGUAGAGGCUGAAGUAGACCAGAUGUUCUCCACACAAUUAAUGGCAGAUACCAGUUAUGGAAUUGUCCCUUCAUUCUGAAUGCAACCAAGAGAAGAUCAGCUACAAGUCCCUAAACCUUAGUAUUAAUAUUGUAUCUCUUACAUCAUUAUUGAUCUAACUAGGUAUUGAAUAAUGAGAAAUGUACUACAGUAGUUCUCCGCAAAGGAUUUAUUAAAUUCUCUUCAUUGUUGUAUAUGUAAAAAGAGUUCUUCCUUGUAGACCGUGUUGCAGUCAAUACGUACAAUUUUUCUGGGGAAGUAAAAAAAGCCCCUCCGGUGUAGAGGGAUUGACCCAACAAGACAAAAAGUACUAGUUCUGCAAGAAGCAAAAAAAUUGACUGAAGUAUCAGGAGCGUGAAAAACCUUAACCAGAGGUCUCACGUUAAUGGAAAACCUUUUAUUACGAAACAGUUACCUCCUUAGUGGACCUACCAGACACAUAUAUAGAUACUGGAUGCCUAAAAGGAAAAAGAAAAGAGAAAGGAAGAAUCGACUGCAGUUAACUUUUUCACAUCAAAAAAGAACUCAGUGCAGCCACAAGUAACGAGAAAAGCGCUAUUACCGACGACCUCUGGAUGCUCAGUGGUAUGACAUUGUGUGCUGGUGCAAUAUGAUUGAAGCUCAGUUUUGCUUUCUGCUUUCCACUGUCAUCUUUUUGUUUGAACAUACUCUUUAGGAAUGACACAUAAUAUUCUUCAAUAGCUGCUUUUGGUCCAGAUUCUCCUUCAGUAUAAUGAAUGUUCCAUCCACUUCUCCAAGGAAAGCACUGAUGCAAUAUUUUUGCAGAAAAUGAUACUCCAUAAGCACCUCAUAAGCAAAAUACUGCUAUGAUCAUCAAAAGUUUUAGUUGUAAUGCCAGAAUCAAGGUGCACAAUAUCCCUAAAACAGCUAAAAUACGGCUUGUAAUUUGUAAUAAGCAAGGAAAUAGGUAACUUCCUCAAGAAAUAGAAGAUGCACUUGGUCAGAUUUGGAAAGAAAUUACAGGCGGAAUAAGUAAGGGGAAGGACAUCAGAUAGAUGGAUAAAACUAUGAGUAAGCUGAUACAAUCUCUAAGACCAAUCAUCUGUAUUUUACCUUCACCUUUAUUGAAACUUUAGUGGAAAGUGCAUCAAGUCAAUCAACUACUAAAGUGAUCCUCCUAUCUUGGAAUCUAAAGUGUUCUAUGUUUCAUCUAUUUUUUAAUUGUUUAUAUGGUAUAAUAAACUUAAAACACUUGGCAGUAAGAACAUUACUGGAUUCCACUAGGCUCUAGUUCCUUAAACAAAAUGUUGUCGUCAAAAGCAAAAGGGAAGAAAAGUAACCAGGGUAUGUUUGGGUUUUAAGAGCAACGUACAACUAAAAAGCACGCGUUAAUGAAGGAGAUGAAGAUGAAGAAGUAGAUUUAAAAAUACACGCAAACAAGCAAUUAUAUGGACAAAGGAAUUGAGAAUAAAAUUGCAAGAGAAACAUAAUAAAGACAUGUCAAUCAAGUUCAAAAUCAUUUUAAAAUUUUUUAUUGUGUUGCAAAGCGGCAAAAUUUAAGUUUCUAAUUCAAUUUAAUUGACUAAUUUUCUAUGAUAAUUAUUUUAUUGACUAUUUUGAUCUGCUGUCUCUGACUAACUGUUUUUAAUCACAAUAUUUUUCCAUAAUGUUUUCUUAACAAGUGAUAUAUCACUUUGCUUUAUAAUCAUUUUUUAGCUUGCCCACUUCAACGUAAAACUUACAGGCAUUAUAAAUUACUUAAAACUUAUUAAGAAGCAAUUAAAUGGCUGUCUUUCUAAGGCACACAACUUACACUGCCUAAGCAACACAGAGCACCAAGCCUGCAAUGCAUCUAGCUUCGAGGUUUAUGCAUGCCUCAUGAGAGCUUUUAACAAACUGCCACAUAAUCCAACACCACCCUGGUAUUAACAAGUUCCCGCAGCUAGUUCCAUCGCAGAAUCUACAGAAUACUUUUGUUUAACAGAAAUCAAAAGGAAAAAGGUGUUUAUACAACUGCUUUACAAACAAGCCCCAAAAUAUGUAGCUUCUACAUCAAGCAGACAUGACUUAUUUGGCCCAGUUAUUUCUGCACUACUCUAUUUACUACCAAAACAGUUUACCAAUAAAAAAUAUCAAUAAAGAUAAUUGCUAAUCUCGUCAUACUUGUUUGUAGGCUCAAAAUUUGAUAAUCUAUCUUUAGCAACCCCUGUGAUCUAAUUCAUUGGAUUUCCAAUCAAACUAAACAGUGAAGCACAAGACGAGGAGGUAUUCCAUGGCCUCAACAGUUUAAAUAAUCAAAAGACAAUGUGAUCCAAUUCAUUGUAUUUUCACCAUCUGUUCUAACCUUGGUGGACAGAGUUACCAGGUACAUAUUACUGGUGGGAGGUGGCAGGUAUCCCAUGAAAUUAGUCGAGAUGCGCGCAAGAUGGCCCAGACACCAAGGUUAUCCAAAAAAAAAGUCCUUUUAUCAGUCUUAAACAGAAGGAAAGCAUAUAGCACUUUUACCUUUAUUAAUGUGAAAUAUUCACUGAAACCAUAAGAAGGCAAGUUCCAGCUUAUCGAGGAAUAAGAGAAAAGUUUAAAGAGGUAAGAACUUUGUGGCUAAGAAAUUUUAUCCAAGAAUGGCUUGGACGCUCACUUUUAGGUCCUUUUUUGAUCAUUGGGUACUUUUAGUAUCCAAUUCUGCACUGCUAUUUGUUGAGCAGAAGAACCUUUAUCCACCUCGCAACUCACUAGCAAAGAAAAAGAAUACUUAUCAAUGUGUCACGACAAAUAUUAUUUGGGUCAGUUAUUUCUGCACUAUUCUAUUUACCAAAACAGUUUACCACUAAGAAAUACCAUCAAUAACGAUAAUUGCUGAUAUCUUCAUACUUGUCUGCACGGCUAAUAGGUUGCUUAUCUAUCUUUAGCAAUCCAUGUGAUCCAGUUCACUGGAUUUCCAGUCACAGUAAAUCAUGAAACAUAAUACGAGGAGGUAUUCCAUGGUCUCAAUAGCAUUAGUAAUCAAAACGCGUCCUUUUAUUAGUCUUGAGCUGAUACCAGGUUUUCAACAUAUGCAAUAGAUUGAAUACGAUGCAGAAGGAAAACAUAUUGCACUUUUACCUUUUUUGAUGUGAAGCAGUCAUUGAAAAAUUAACUUUUUUGAUGUGAAGCAGUCAUUGAAAAAUUAACGUUCCGGCUUAUUGAGGAAUAAGAUGAAAGUGUAAGGAGGUAAAAACUUUGUGGCUAAGGAAUUUCAUCCAAGAUUGCCUUAGACGUUCACUUUUAGGUCCUUUUUGGUAAUUGGGUACUUUUAGUAUCCAAUUCUGCACUGCUAUUCGUUGAGUAGAAGAACCUUUAACCACCUCACAACUCACUAGCAAGGAAAAGGAAUAAUCAUCAAUGUGUCACGGCCAAUAUUAUUCCCUCCCAGAGAAACGGACAAACAACUUAGAUUGUUUUGAGUUAUUCCUGAGCCUUUCAAGUUGGAUCAGGUCCCUCCGAUUCCGUGGUUACUUUAGCUAUCUAUUUCUGCGAUGCCAUUUGCUGAACAUCAGCACUUUUUCCCCAGCUCAUAAAAGCCAAGCAAUCCACCAUGGAGCAAUUCUAGUUAUUCUAAUGCAAUAAAAUUAUUAAAGCAACAAAACAACCGUAAGCGGUUUCCUAAUUCAAUUUGAAAACAUCAAACUGCAUUGCUGGUUGAUUCCACAACAAAAUCCAGAUAUAGUAAUCUUAUUUCUUCUGUGAACAACUAAUUUCGUGCAAGAUUUCUGCUUGAGAUUAUAUCAUAUAUACACACAAAAAAAAAAAUGAUGUUCAAAAUGCUCAACUUAGUGGCUCAGCUAGGAUUUAAGAAGAAAUAAAUACACAAGGAAGCCAAGGAAUUCAACAUCCACUAUAUAUACAUAAAAAAAUAAUUUAACCUUGUAUAUACAAUGUAAUUUUUCCACCGAAGGAGCUCGAUUCCCUCGCUACUUCCCACCAGCACGGACGUCAAAAUUAUUCACCCAUCAAGAUUUAAGAAAAUUGGAAAAUUUUGUGUAAUGGCGUCUCUGCUGGAAUUUGAACCUUCGUUCCCAAGGUUGUUAUCCCAACUCUUCAACUUAUCUAAAGAUAAUUUUAUUGGUCGCUGUUUAACGUAUAAAGUUAAGUUAUGACCAAAUAAUCCCACACAUAAGGCUUAAGCAAGAAUUCAAUAAAAACACCUCAUUUUAGAUAGUAUCAGUUGAGGGUCAUAGUUUGCACCUGGAAGAUAAACGUGCAAGCCGUUAACGUAGAAGUCUGUCGUCCAGGAUAACUGAACCUGCAUCGGUGAAAUGCAGUACCCCCGGCAAAAGGGACCACUAUUCUUAGAUAUGGUUUAAAAGACAGUAGCACUUUACUUUAUACUUUUGUGGAUCAAGAGUCUUAAGAAAAAGGGAAAAGAGUAGAUUCUAUCUCAGCAAGAACAUUGGAGUUAUCCUGGACCUGCAGUUAUGUUCCACAGAAGUAACCAGAGUAUGGCUAAGCCUCAAGUUUGAGGUCCCUCCUAUUCAUGGGUACUUUACGUAUCUAUUUCUUCUCUGACAUUUGUUGAGCCUCAGCACUUUUUUGACAGCUCUUAAAUGCCAAGCAAUCCACCAUGGAGCAAUUCUUCUGAUUCCUAUGCUUAUAACUUAGUAUUUUUGGAGGUAAAGUCCUGAGAAAAAGUGAAAAGAGUAGGUUACACAUAAGUCACCUGAGCACAGCUAAGCCUUUCAAGUUUGAGGUCCCUCAGAUUCCAAUGGAACUUUAGCUAUCUAUUUCUGCUCUGCCAUUUGUUGCGCCUCACCACUUUUUCCAUAGUUCAUAAAUGCCAAGCCAUCCACCAUGGAGCAAUUCUUGUGAUUUACUUAUAACAAAUUAUUAACUAAAACAAAACAAUUUUCAGUGAUUUUCUAAUUAAAUGUGAAAAUAUCAAAUUUCCUUGCUGGUUGACUACACAGCAAUGUCCAGAUACAACAAUCUUAUUGUUGUCAGUGAACAACUAAAUUUUGUGCUAGUUUACUAGUCGCAAUUGUGCUUUAUGUGGUGAUGCCAGGCUACGCAACUUGAUUAAGUCACCAGGUGCCUGUUAUGUCCAACCAGCACAAGUAUCAGACAUUUUUUUCUACAGAGAUUUAGGGAGAUGCGAAAAAAUCACGUACUGCCACCUCUGUUAGGAUUUGUACCUUGGUACCCAAGGUUGUUAUUCCAACUCCUCGACAGUAAGGGACACAAGCAAAUCAAAUUGACUAAAGAUGAUUUUACCGUCCAUUAAUUUUCAUAAUCUGUGAACGAAGGAAGUGCACACAUAGGCGUAGGCAAGAUUUUAAUAAAAUGUUUCAUCUUAGAUUGUAUCAGUUGACUGUCGAAUGCAUUCAGAGGCCAAUGCAGACCAAUAUAUUAAAGCAUAUAGUUAAAAGACAAUGUAGAGUUUGUAAACUUCUGUGGGUGAAGAGUCCUACCAUAAAGGUGAAAAGAGUAGAUUCUACCUCAGCAAGAACAUUGAAAUUGUGGACCUGUAUGUCCCACAGAAGUCACCAGAGCCUUGCUAAGCCUUUCAAGUUUGAGGUCCCUCUUGAUCCAUGGCACUUUAGUACCUAUUUCUUCUCUUCCAUUCGAUGAAUGCCUGAAACUCAGCACUUUUUACACAGCUCAUAAAUUCCUUAGGACUUUAUGUAUCUAUUUCUGCAAUGCUAUUUGCUUUACAUCAUUACUUUUUUGAUCUGGUUGACAGCCACACGACAAAGAUUCUUUCAUGCCAUAUCAUCGAUUUUAUCCAACAGUAGCAUUAAGAGGUAAAAUUGACUAAGCAUUUCAAAUUUAUUGUAUAUGUGUAUUUAGUAACAAAAUUUUGACAAAUCGGUGUCGGAUGACACUGCUCUACCUAAUAUGCAUUUGGCCCUUUAUAUAUAUCAUUUCUAAAAAUAUGUGUACCCAUAGUAAACUUGUAUUCUUUAUCAAAAGAAAACAUAUUCAGCAUAAGAACUAAAUCCUGGAAACCAUCACGUAUCAAAUUCAGGUACACUUAUAAGUUAAACCCUAACAGUAGCUGUUAGUAACAUAUGUUCAAAACAGUAAACCAAAAUAUACGAAAUAAUCUGAAAAGCAAUUUAAUGAAAAAUACAGAACUGUAAUUAUUGAGCCCACAAUAUUCAUGGUGUAUACUUAAGGAAUUUAGUCCCCUCAUUGUACCUGAGGUGUUGGAGUAGUGGUAUCUCAAAUGCCAAUAACUUCAUAGAACUUGAAGAUGGACAUGAACCACACAAAGGCUCAAUUUUGUUUGUAAGAAAAUAAGUAGAAGUGCAGAAAUUCAAUGUCCAUAACUGGGGCUAGUCCUUUGAAUUUAUUGCCAACGAAGGGUAUUGUUAACAAGUGCUAUUGUGCCUUAUCGGAAAAGUCACAACCUAUUCAAUGUGAAAAGAUCGUUCAUUGUGUAUCAUUAAGAUAUUUAAUCCCCUCAUUGUACCUGAGGUGUUGGAGUAGCGGUAUCUCAAAUCCCAAUAACUUCGUCGAACUUGAAGAUAGUCAUGAACCACACAAAGGCUCAAUUUUGUUUGUCAGAAAAUAUGUAGAAGUGCAGAAAUUCAUGUCCAUAACUGGGGCUAGUCCUCUGAAUUUAUUGCCAGCGAAGGGUAGUAUGAACAAGUGCUAUUGUGCCUUAUCGGAAAAAUCACAACCUAUUCAAUGUGAAAAGACAGCUCAAAUUGCAUUAUUUCUCCUUGAGUCUCUUCAGGGAAACACCUCUUCAUUUCUCAUUCAUGCUACAAAAAACCCAACAAUAGACCGAUACUAUUUAUAUAGAAUCUUGUAUAUGCCAUUGUGCAAUUUGCACCGAUUUAACUUCAAUACUUACAGUGACUAGGGGUUGGUAUUGUACGUCAGAUAUCAAAUCUGAAAUUUUUGAUCCCGCAGUUUUUGUAUUAUGAUAUUUGGUAUAUAUUUUUAAAGAAUGGGUAAUUGGUACCGUAUUCAGUAUUUAUGGAAAAAUUAUUGAAAUACCAAAUUAAAAAAAAGGGCAAUCCGGUGCACUAAAGCUAUCACUAUGCGCGGUGUCCGGGGAAGGACCCCACCACAAGGGUGUAUCGUACGCAGUCUUACCUUACAUUUCUGCCAGAGGCUGUUUCCAAGGCUUGAACCCGUGACCUCCUGGUCACAUGGAAGCAACUUUACCAGUUACUCCAAGGCUCCCCUUCAAUUCAUAUACAUUAUUAAAAUACUAACAAAUAUAAUCUAGCAUUAGUACGUUGUUUGUAAAAUGCUACUUCUCUUUCUAAGCCAAGCCGGCCGGCAGAAAGAGGGUUGCUACUAAGCGGUAGAACAAAACGAUCUCACUUUCAGCAUAGCCAAUUCAAAAAAGGCAAGAGCAACUUAACAGACGUUGAAACUUUGAAUGACACUCUAUCUUAAUUGAAAUGUACUUUUUAUGUAAUUCAUUAACAAAAAGAAAUGAUUGUAAUUUCUUUUCAAUAUCUCUACAUGUAUAAGGUGUUAGUAGAUAUAUUUGAGAUGUUUCUUGAAAAUCAAAGAGUGUUGCUACUAAGCGGUAGAACAAAACGAUCUCACUUUCAGCAUAGCCAAUUCAAAAAAGGCAAGAGCAACUUAACAGACGUUGAAACUUUGAAUGACACUCUAUCUUAAUUGAAAUGUACUUUUUAUGUAAUUCAUUAACAAAAAGAAAUGAUUGUAAUUUCUUUUCAAUAUCUCUACAUGUAUAAGGUGUUAGUAGAUAUAUUUGAGAUGUUUCUUGAAAAUCUGAAAUCAUAAUCCUCUUUUAUAUGAGUAUAUGUAAGCCGAAGACAAAUAAACUGUGAUUACCGACUAACACACCGCAACAUGCUAAAACCGAACUAAAAAAAAUACCAAAUGAUACCAAAUUAAUUUGAUAUGAUAUUGACAUAGUAUUUUUAAAACCAAAAUUGGGCCGAAUUUUUUAAUAUCAUACCAUAGUGUGUCAGUGUAGUCUCCCCUUAAAAUGCAUUCUCUUGGACAAAGCUCUCCCACCUCGAUUGAUCCAAAGAGCCAAAGGCCCCUGGACCCACUUGUUUCAACCUCCUUGUUGCCUGACCCCACCAUCUGGCCUCAUCAGAAUCACCAGCCACCACAAGAUAAUGAAACAAUUUUUCCUACCCAUCAACUCUAAGCCACGUGUCGCUCGUGGAUGCUCUUCCCACUUGGUAGUUGCAUCUGUUAUUUCCCUCCUUCUCCUUCACAUAUCACAGUGCCCCAUAAGUCUACAGCACACCUUCAGUAUUUGCAGUACAGCAGAAAAUAGAAAGCAAUAAGAAAGAAAAAGGUUUAAGUUAAAAUUAGUUCAAUGUUUAAAAAGGAGAAUAGUGGGGAUUUUGAUGGCAGCAGCAACAACUGGGCAAGGAUGUGUGACAGUUGCCAUUCUGCUGCAUCUACUGUUUACUGUUGGGCAGAUUCCGCCUAUUUGUGUACGGGCUGUGACGCCGGCAUACAUGCAGCAAGUCUGGUGGCUUCUCGUCACAAGCGUGUCUGGGUUUGUGAGGCCUUGGAGCAUGCUCCUGCAGCCUUUCUUUGCAAGGCAGAUGCUGCCUCAUUUUGUGCCUCCUGUGACGCUGACAUCCAGUCCGCCAACCCCUUGGCGCAUCUUCAUCACUGUGUCCCAAUUAUGCCCAUUCCAGGUAGCCACCAUUUUUUUCACACAGAACAUAUAUACUCCUACAUUAUAAAAACACCAAAAAUUCAAUAAAUAAGUCUUCUAAACAAUAAUUUCAAAAGAGUAACAUGUUAAAUAAUAAAAACCUUAAAAAUUGAACCCAUCAAACUUAAAUUUUAAAUUUGUCUGUGAUUCCAAUCUCCAGGAACACUUUCUGGUCCUCCAGCUGUUGACACCGUUGGCGGUGGUUCUAUGAUGAUUGGGGGGACCACAGGGGAAUGCACGGAGGAUGAUGGUUUCUUGAGUUUGACUCAAGAUGCAGAUGAUACAACGAUAGAUGAAGAAGAUGAAGAUGAAGCACCUUCAUGGUUGUUGCUUAAUCUUCCUGUUAAGAACAACAACAAGAACAAUGUUAGCAAUACCAACAACAAUCAAAAUAACAACUAUGGGAUGUUGUUUGGUGGGGAAGUAGUCGAUGACUACUUAGAUCUUGCGGAAUAUGGAGGGGACUGUCAAUUUAAUGAUCAGUUCAGUGUUAAUCAGCAGCAACAACAUUACUCUGCUCCUCCGAAGAGUUAUGGUGGAGAUAGCGUUGUGCCAGUUCAGGACGGACAGCGAAAAUCUCUGAUUCUUUAUCACCAACAGCAACAACAACAACAACAACAAAGUCAUCACCUGAAUUUUCAGCUGGGAACAGAGUAUGACAGAUUUAACACUGGAUAUGGUUAUCCUGCUUCUUUGAGUCACAGUGUAUGUUUUCAUCACUUUUUAUCUAUACAUCUCAAUUCAAGCUAUAAGCAUUUUCAAUUUAUGAGUUGUCUUCCUUCUCAAAAAAAAUUUAUGAGCUGUCUUAGAAUCCUCACCUUUUCUGCUUUGCCAUUGGCUUUCUUUGGACAUACUGAUGUUGCUGUCAUUUUAUCUGCUGAUCAUCAAGACAAAAUCCUGUAGUCUAGUCUGUUUUCUUGAAUGGACCAAGGAAAUUUUUAUGGAUCUAAAUUUUGAUGCCUAAUUUUUCAGAUUACUGAUUUCAGUUUUUAUGAACGAUCAACUGUAGUUAUCUUUUAAGUGAUGGUUAAUCAGAGCGAUGACCCCUUUUGUUUUCUUUACCUUGAUGUAUUCUCAGGUUUCCAAUUCGUCAGUAGAUGUCAGUGUUGUCCCAGAAUCUGCACUAAGUGAAACUUCAAACUCCCACCCACGAGUUCCAAAAAAGACCAUUGACCAUUACUCAGGCCCUCCAAUUCAGAUACCUCCCCAGCUUACUCCAAUGGACAGAGAAGCCAUAGUCAUAAGGUACAGAGAGAAGAAAAAGAACCGUAAAUUCGAGAAAACCAUAAGAUAUGCUUCAAGAAAAGCUUAUGCAGAAACAAGACCAAGAAUCAAAGGUCGAUUCGCAAAGAGAACAGACGUAGAGGCUGAAGUAGACCAGAUGUUCUCCACACAAUGACAGACAGCAGUUAUAGAAUCGUCCCUUCAUUCUGAAUGCAACAAAGAGAAGAUAACACAAGUCCCUAAACCUAGUAUUGCUAUUGUGUCUCUUACAUCAUUAUUGAUCCAAGUAGCUAUUGAAUAAUCAGAACAGUAAUAAAUUAGUUUUCCAAAGAGAAUUUAUUAACGUCUCUAUUGUUGUAUAUGCAAAAGAAAGUUCUUCCUUGUAGACCAUGUUGCAGUCAAUACGUACAUUUUUCAGAGGAGAAAGCAAACAAGGACCCCCUCCAAUGUAAAGGGAUUGGUCCAACAAGACAAAAAGUACUAGCUCUGCAAGAAACAAAGAAUUGACUGCAGUAUCAAGGAGUAAGGUUGAAAGGAUGAGAAAUCACCUUUUGGCAACAUUCAGAUACAGGAUGCCUAAAGGGAAAAAAGGAAAAGAAAAGAAGAAUUGACUACAUUUAACUUUUCCACAUUAUAAAGAACUCAAUGCAGCCACAAGUUAUGGUAAAAGCCCUAUUACCAACGACCUUUGGGUGCUCAUUGGCUGUAUUUGACACAGAGUGCUGGAGCAAUAUAAUUGAAGCUCAGUUCUGCUUUCUGCUUUCCACUGUGGUCAUCUUUCAUCAAUAGCUGCUUUGGGUCCAGGGCCUCUCUCUCAAGUCUCAACUAGUGUUUUUCCCAGAUUCUCCUUGUGUACAACGAAAUCCCCAUCACUGAAGAUAACGAAUAAAAGGUCCACCCCUCCAACGAUAGGAAAGCACUGGUUCAAUAUUUUUGCCUAAAAAUGUCAGUCCAUAAGCACCAUGUAAGCAAAAUACUGCUAUGAUCAUCAAAAAUUUUAGUCGUAAUGAAGGAUGUAGGUACAAGAUAUCCCAAAAACCGCUAAAAUACAGCUAUUAAAGAAGAAGCACUUUAGUCAGUUGAGAAAAGAAAAUUAAAGGUGAUAAAAGGGGAAGGAAUUGGGAUAGAUGGAUUAAACUAUUCAAUUAAGCGAACGAAAAUAUCUAACACCAAUCAUCUGUAUUUUGCGUUCACCUUUACUGAAACUUAAAAGUGGAAAGUGCAUCAAGACAAUGAACUACUAAAGUGAUCCUCCAAGCUUGAGAUCUAAAGUGUUCUUUGCUUCAUUAAUUAUUUAUAUAUGAUCAACCAAAAAACAUGGCAGUAUGAAUAUUAUUAGAUGCUGCUCUUGUUCCUGCAACAGAAUGGUGUUGUCAAAAGCCAAAGGGAAGAAGUGUCACCCCAGGCUAUGAUCGGGUUUUAAGUGGAAAGAAUGAUUAAAAAGCACACAUUACUGAAGGAAGAUGGAGAUGAAGAAAUAAAAAUAAAAUAACCACAAAUAAGCCAUUAUAUGGACAAAGGAACUGAGAAAAAAAUUGCAAGUGAAACAUAUAUGAAGAAUAAAACAUUUUAACCAAGUUCAAGAUCAUUUAAAAUCUUUUAGUUCAGUGUAAAGAUACAAAAUUAAGUUUCUAAUUCAAUUUUAUUGACCAAUUGUCCUUGAUAAAGUGUUUUAUUGACUAACUUUGUCCACUAAGUUUCUAACUCCCUGUUUUUAAUCACUAACACUUUUUCCAUAUUGUUUUAUUGACUUUGCUUUAUAUUUAUUCGCUCUUUAACUUCUACCUGUGUGAGCUCGUUCAUAUUGUCGGUCCCAAGAGCGGAUAAAGGAAGGGGGUUUCCUCAACUGGAAACAACUUCUCUACCCUAUGCAAGGUAGGCGAAAGGCUGUGUACAUCUUACCCUCCCCAAACCCCACUUAUGGGAUUACACUGGGUUUGUUGUUGUUGCUUCAUAAUUAUUGUUUAGUGUCACCCUCUUUAAAACAAGACUUACAUGCCUUAUAAAUUACUAAAACUUAUUAAGAAGCAAUUAGUUGACUGUCUUUCUAGGCACACACCUUACCCUUACGCACUGCCUAAGCAGCCAAAGCACCUAGCCUACAAUGCAUCUAGCUUCGAGGUUUAUGCAUGCCAUAUUCGUGCUUUUAACAAUUUCUACACAACCCAACAUCACCCUUGUAUUAACAAGUUACCACAGCUACAUAAAUUGCUCAUCUAUCUUUAGCAAUCCAUAUGAUCCUGUUCAUUGGAUUUCCAAUCACAGUAAACCGUGAGGCAUAGAACGAGGAGGUAUUCCAUGGCCCCAACAGUAUCAGUAAUCAAAACACAAUAUCCUGUUAUCAGUGUUGAGCUGAUACCAGGGACUCAACAUAUGCAACUGAUUGAACAAGAUGCAGAAAAUAAAGCAUAUUGCACUUUUACCUUUUUUGAUGUGAAGUAAUUGAAAAAGUAACAAGGCAAUUUCCAGCUUAUCGUGGAAUAAAAUGAAAGUGGAUCUAAGAACUUUGUGGCUAAGAAAUUUCAUCCAAGAAUGGCUUGGACGUCCACUUUUAGGUCCUUUCUGAUCAUUAAGUACUUUUAGUAUCCUAUUCUGUGCUGCUAUUUGUUGAACAGAGGAACUUUUAUCCACCUCACAACCCACUAGCAAAGGAAAAGAAUACUCAUCAAUGUGUCACUACCAAUAUUAUUCACGCCCAGAAUAAUGGACAAAUAACUCAGAUUGUUUGAGAUAUUCGUCAUCCAGACAACAGGAUAUUCAAGGUGCUCUACUAUCUUAUACUUCCUUUUAAAUAAUGUCCAAUUACUUUUCAGGACUUCAACAAAGAUGUAUCAUUUUUCAAGUAUCAAUUGACUCUCAAAGGACUUGGAGGCUAAUCUAAAUCAGCAUUUAAAAGAAUAUAUUUUUUUAAGAGAAAAAUGUAGCACUUUCUACUUUUGUGGAGGUAGAGUCCUGAUAAAAAGUGAAAAAAGUAGGUUCCACUUAAGUCACCUGAGCACAGCUAAGCCUUUCAAGUUUUGGUCCCUCAGAUUCCGAGGGGACUUUAGCUAUCUAUUUCUGCUCUGCUAUUUGCUGAGCCUCAGCACUUUCUCCACCACUUAUAAACGCCAUGCAAUCCACCAUGAAGCAAUUCUUGUGAUUCUAUGGUUAUAACAUUACCAGUUUUUGGGCACGUUUGUUGCGCGUGAAUCUCAUAUCAAUGAGAACUAAUCUUUUCAAAACCAACAAAUUUUAUUAAUAUAUAAAAGAGGUGUUUCAUUAUAAAUGAAGCCUUAAGAAGGAGAACACUAUUGGUUUUAAGCCCAUCAUUUUUGAGAGAGGAUCAAACGAUCUACAGUUUCGUACUCAAAAUAAAAAGGAAAACGCAUCUUUAAGGUUUAAGUUCUUUCAUUACUUUCGUUAAACAAAAUUCCAUACUUGGUAUAAAUUUAUUUCAGCUAGCAAAUUUUACUCUUUUAAAUAUAUCUAAGUUAUUUCAAUUCCCUAAAAUGAUAUCCCCUGCAAAUUUAUUUGCAUCAGAACUUUUAAUUAACUUAAGGGAAUAUUUAGUGAAAAUUAACAAAAAUAUUUUCAUAAUAGUGUUCCUAUGUUCUAUAGGCACAUCCAUCUUUGGAGUUGGAGAAAAUGUUGAAACUGGAUUUCUUAAACUUUUAAGAUGAGAAUGUAAGAAAAGUGAAUUAGAGGUAAGAGACUUGAGUAAAGGAGACCAAUUUCUGUACUAAACUAAUCUUAUAAAAACUCUUUUCCUACACAUUUCUAUUUCGAGUCUUUGUUAGACUUAUUUAGGGCAAAAGAUCUAUUAAAAAAUCAUUGAGCCUUUUUAUAGUAAUAGCUCUUCAUAUCUCAUUUGCUUUUCUUCUUUUAUUACUCACAGUAAAUAUCGUACUAAUAAACUAUUGUAUGCAUGUAAAAAAAAAGCACAUAUAUUAUUCCGCAUUUGAGUUCAUACAUUGAGGAAAUGGAAGAGUUAACUCAGCAGCCUUAAUCACAGAUGUGAAUAUUUUUUUCUUUUUUGUUUACAUACCAUGAAUGUGCGGUAACUUUUAUCAGCUACUUACAUUGUAUAUUUACGUUUUUGUACAAUAAUGUUAAGAAAAUAGCGUUUCACGUAAGGGUAGAAAAAGCCAUUCAACAUUUGAUGGACAUUCUAGUUUUUCAGUUUUUCUUUUUGGCUGUUCCCACUUUUAGUAUAGUAUGAUUAAAGAAACGAAACAUUUUUCAGUGAUUUUCUAAUUAAAUGUGAAAAUAACAAACUUCAUUACUUGUUGAUUACACAAAUAUGUCCAGACACCCACAUGAUGAUGCCAGACUGCGUAGCUUGAUUAAGCCACCAGGUACCGACUACCUCCGAUCAAUACAAGUAUCGAAUAAUUCUGUCCACUGAAAAUUAGGCAAAUGCGAAAAAUUUUAGCAGUGUCACCUUUAUUGGGAUUUGCACCUUGGUAUCCAAGGUUGUUAUUCUAACUCCUUGACUGCUAAGGAACACAAGCAAAUCAUAUUGACUAGAGAUAAUUUUACUGGUCAUUAUUUUUCAUAAACUGUGAAUGAAAGAAGUACACACAUUGGCGCAGGCAAGAUUUCAACAAAGAAUGCAUUUGGAGGCUAAUCCAGAUCAAUAAUUUAAAGCAUAUAGUUUAAAAGACAAUGUAGAGAUUUCUAAAUUUUGUGGAUGAAAAGGCCUACCAUAAAGGUGAAAAGAGAAGAUUCUAUCUUAGCAAGAACAUUGAAGCUGUGGACCAGUGGAUUCUCUUCCCACGUGGUAGUUGCAUACUGUUAUUUUCCCUCCUUCACAUUUCAUAGUGCCCCAUAAGUUUACAGCAUACCUGCUCAAAUCCGGUACUCAAAGUACAACAGAAAAUAGAGAACAAGAAGAAAAAGAAACAAAUCAAAACUAGUUCAAUGUUGAAAAAGGAGAAAAGUGGAGGUUUUGAUGGCAGCAGCAACAACUGGGCAAGGAUGUGUGACAGUUGCCACUUUGCUGCAUGUACCGUUUACUGCCAGGCAGAUUCCACCUAUUUGUGUGUGGGCUGUGACGCCCGCAUACAUGCAGCAGGUCUGGAGGCUUCUCGUCACGAGCGAGUGUGGGUUUGCGAGGCCUGCGAGUGUGCUCCAGCAGCCUUUCUUUGCAAGGCGGAUGCUGCCUCACUCUGUGCCUCCUGCGACGCUGACAUCCAUUCUGCCAACCCCUUGGCACGCCGUCACCACCGUGUCCCGAUUAUGCCCAUUCCAGGUAGCCACCAUUUGUAUUUACAAGAAGAACAUAAAUUAGUCCUACAUGUACAAAAAACUAACAAUUGUUUCAAUAAAUGUCUUCUGAACCAUAAUUUCAAAAAUGUAAAGUAGCAAGAACCUUAAAGAUUGAAUCAUCAAAAUCAAAUUCUAAAAUUCGUCUCGCUUCCAAUUUCCAGGAACCCUUUAUGGUCCUCCAGCUGUUGACAUCGUUGGUGAUGAUUCAAUGAUAAUUGGUGAGCCCAGAGGGGACAGCACGGAGAAUUAUGGGUUCUUGCGUUUGACUAAAGAUGAAGAUGAUAUGACUAUAGAUGAAGAAGAUGAAGAUGAAGCAGCUUCAUGGUUGUUGCUGAAUCCUCCUGUUACAAACAACAAUAAGAACAAUGUUAACAAUAACAUCAACAAUCAAAAUAACAACUGUAGGAUGUUGUUUGGUGGGGAAGUAGUGGAUGACUACUUGGAUCUUGCUGAGUAUGGCGGGGAUAAUCAAUUUAACGAUCAGUACAGUGUUAAUCAGCAGCAGCAACUUUACUCAGUUCCUCAGAAGAGUUAUGGUGGAGAUAGCGUUGUGCCAGUUCAGGAUGGACAGGGAAAAUCUCUGAUUAUCUACCACCAACAGCAACAACAACAAAGUCACCACCUAAAUUUUCAGCUAGGAGUGGAGUAUGACAACUCUAACACUGGAUAUGGUUACCCUGCUUCUAUGAGUCACAGUGUAAGUUUUAUCAUCUGUAUCCAUAUAUCUCACUUCAGGCAACAUGCACUUUAACUAAAUUCAUGGACCAAGGAAAUUUUUGUGUAUCUAAAUUUUUAUGCCUCACUUUUCAGAUUACUGAUUUCACUUUUUAUGGGCGAUUAACUGUAGUUAUCUUUUAACUGAUGGUUUAUCGGAGCGAUGACCACUUCUGUUUUCUUUAUCUUGAUGUAUUCUCAGGUUUCCAUUUCGUCGAUGGAUGUAAGUGUUGUCCCAGAAUCUGCACUAAGUGAAAAUUCAAACUCCCACCCACGACCUCCAAAAGAGUCCAUUGACCUUUACUCAGGCCAUCCAAUUCAGAUACCUCCCCAUCUUGCUCAAAUGGACAGAGAAGCCAGAGUCCUAAGGUACAAAGAGAAGAAGAAGAACCGUAAAUUCGAGAAAACCAUAAGGUAUGCUUCAAGAAAAGUCUAUGCAGAAACAAGGCCAAGAAUCAAAGGCCGGUUUGCAAGAAGAACAGACAUAGAGGCUGAAGUAUACCAGAUGCUCUCCACACAAUUAAUGACAGAUAGCAGUUAUGGAAUUGUCCCUUCAUAACAAUGAAAAGAUCAACUACAAGUCCUUAAACCUAGUAUUACUACUGUAUCUUACAUCAUUAUCAAUCGAACUAGCUAUUGAAUAAUGAGAAUGUACUAAAGUAGUUUUCCACAGAGGAGAUGUUAAAUUCUCUGCAUUGUUGUAUAUGUAAAAAAGGAGUUCUUCCUUGUAGACUACAUUGCACUCAAUACAUACAAUUUUCCUGAGGAAAAAGAAAACAAAAAGGCCAUCGGUGUAAAGGGAUUGACCACAAGACAAAAGUAGUAGUUCUGCAAGAAGCUAAAAAUUGACUGCAAUAUCAAGGAGCAUGGUGAAAUGAAUGAGAAAUCUGCAUCCUUAACCAAAGGUCUGGGGGGCUAAUUGAAACCUUUUGGUACGGAGUGUUCGCCUUCUUAGUGGACCUAUCCGACAAAAAUAUAGAUACUAGAUGCCUAAAGGGAAAAAGAAAAAAGAAAAGAAGAAUUGACUGCAGUUAACCUUUUCACAUUAAAAAAGAACUCAAUGCAGCCACAAGUAAUGGGAAAUGCACUAGUACCAACGACCACUGGAUGCUCAGUGGCUGUAUAUAACAACAUGUCACAACAACAACAACAACAACAAACCCAGUGUAUUCCCACCUAGUGGGGUCUGGGGGGGUAAGACGUACGCAGUCCAUACCUCUACUUCUGAUGAAGUAGAAAGGCUGUUUCCAAUAGACCCCCGGCACAAGGCACGUGAUACCACACAAACACAUAGUAAAGCACAGAAGCAGAUUACAUAACAUAAAUAAGGCACCCAUAAGUAAUAUAAAACAGAGGAAAGCAGAGGAAAGCACACAGAUCCGUAAUAAAACAUGGAACACGGAACACGGAAUCAUAACAACAUGUGCUGGUGCAAUAUAAUUGAAGCUCAAUUUUGCUUUCUGCUUUCCACUGUGGUCAUCUUUUUGUUGGAACAUACUCUUUUUGAAUGACACAUAAUGUUCAUCAAUAGCUGCUUUUGGUCCAGGGCCUCUCUCUCAACUAGUAUUUGUACCAGAUUCUCCUUCAGUACAAUGAAUGUCCCAUCACUGAAGAUAAGGAAUAAAAGGUCCACUUC